UUACAGGAAAUACUUUGCCAGCAGUAAGAUAAACUGGUUUAGAACCUCUUAUCAUUAAAAACAACAAGCUUUGAGUUACUUUUGGAUUCAUGGUGUACCAUUUAUUACGAAAAAUAUUCAACUAACCUGGGCAACCAAGAUCUCACCAAGAGCACAGUAUAGGCACAUAUGUGCAAAUAUAUUAAGUACAGUGGAUGCAAAAUAUACCAAGUGAGGUAAUGAUAUAUUAUUUCCUUCAUCAAAUAACUAAUUAAUUUACAAAAUAAGACAAAGAUUUUUCAAUACUUAAACUAAUUCAGAAGUUUAUAGUAAUGUUUUAUCACUAAAUAUUAAUUAAUUUACUUUAUAUCAAUUUAGUUUUCAUAUAAAGUUUUAAAACACUUACAGUAAUUAUCCGGAAACCGUAGAAAGCAAACAGUAUCGCAAAAUAUACGAAUAAGAAAAGAAGUAUUACAUUAUACGUAUCUUCAAUAAUGUCAAUAGCUCUGUAAAAGAUGGCUCGUAUUACAUAUAAAUAAAGUUGCACACGUAUUUGAAAUAAAUUAUUUUAAUAUGUAAAGAUCAAAC